rnacentral:rRNA from 1 species
UGGGGAAUUUUGCACAAUGGGGGAAACCCUGAUGCAGCGACGCCGCGUGAUUUAGAAGGCCUUCGGGUUGUAAAAAUCUUUUCUAUGGGAAGAAAAUGACAGUACCAUAGGAAUAAGGACCGGCUAAUUACGUGCCAGCAGCCGCGGUAAUACGUAAGGUCCGAGCGUUGUCCGGAAUCAUUGGGCGUAAAGGGUACGUAGGCGGGUAAGCAAGUUAGAAGUGAAAUCCUAUAGCUCAACUAUAGUAAGCUUUUAAAACUGCUCAUCUUGGGGUAUGGAAGGGAAAGUGGAAUUCCUAGUGGAGCGGUGAAAUGCGCAGAUAUAAGGAGGAAUACCGGUGGCGAAGGCGACUUUCUGGCCAAAACCUGACGCUGAGGUACGAAAGCGUGGGUAGCAAACGGG